GUGCUCGCUUCGGCAGCACAGAUACUAAAAUUGGAAUGAUACAGGGAUUAGCAUGGUCCCUGCGCCAGGAUGACACACACAUUCGUGAAGCAGUCCAUAUUUUU
ensembl:snRNA U6 U6 spliceosomal RNA